rnacentral:rRNA from 1 species
CAGCCGCCACGGUAAUACGGAGGGUGCAAGCGUUAUCCGGAUUCACUGGGUUUAAAGGGUGCGUAGGCGGAUCUGUAAGUCAGUGGUGAAAUCUCCAGGCUUAACCUGGAAACUGCCGUUGAUACUAUAGGUCUUGAAUUUUGUGGAGGUUAGCGGAGUAUGUCAUGUAGCGGUGAAAUGCAUAGAUAUGACAUAGAACACCAAUUGCGAAGGCAGCUGGCUACACAACUAUUGACGCUGAGGCACGAAAGCGUGGGGAUCAAACAGGAUUAGAUACCCGCGUAGUCCCUGUCUCUUAUAC